rnacentral:rRNA from 1 species
UAAAAGCUUGGUCCUGACUUUGCUAACAACCCUAGUCGAACUUACACAUGCAAGUAUCCGCACCCCAGUGAAAACACCCCCAACCGCUCUGCCAAGAACAUUGAAAACUGGUAUCAGGCACACACACAAUGUAGCCCAAGACACCUAGCUUUGCCACACCCCCAAGGGAUUUCAGCAGUGAUAAACAUUAGGCCAUAAGUGAAAACUUGACCUAGUUACGACUAUUAGGGCCGGUCAAACUCGUGCCAGCCACCGCGGUUAGACGUGUGACCCAAGUUGUUAGCCCCCGGCGUAAAGGGUGGUUAAAGUACAAAACCCACUGAGGUCGAACACCCUCAAGGCUGUUAUACGCUUCCGAGGAAAUGAAGAACAACCACGAAAGUAACCUCACCAUACUUGAACCCACGAAAGCUAGGGCACAAACUGGGAUUAGAUACCCCACUAUGCCUACCCCUAAACAUGACAUAAUAUUACAACUAUGCAUUCGCCUGGUUACUACGAGCACUAGCUUGAAAACCAAAGGACUUGGCGGUGCUUUAAACCCAUCUAGAGGAGCCUGUUUUAGAACCGAUCUUCCCCGUUUAACCUUACCCCUUCUUGCUCAAACCGCCUAUAUACCGCCGUCGCCAGCUUACCUCAUGAGAGUUAAACAGUAGGCAAAAUUGGCACAGCCAAAAAAGUCAGGUCGAGGUGUAGCCCAUGAAGGGGCAUAAAAUUGGCUACAUUCUCUUCUAAGAGAACCACGAAAGAUGUGUUGAAACACACAUCUGAAGGUGGAUUUAGCAGUAAGCAAGAA